GGCAUCACGAAGGCCCCACUGUCUUAAGAGGACUCUCCAUGAAAUUGAAAUCGUAGUGAAGAUGCUACGUCCAUAUUGUAAGACGAAAAGACCCCAUUGAGCUUUACUAAAGACUUGUAUGGCUCGAAAUAACUUAAAUAAAAAGUUUAGAUAAUGUGGGAUCCGUUUUGGUUAAUGAAACACCACUCUUUUAUUUUAAGAGAGCUAACCUUGUAGGGAGAAUGCAAGUUGGAUAGUUUGGUUGGGGCGACCACCUUUUAAAAGGUAACGAAGGUGAGCUUAAGGUCCGUAGUUAAUAGCUAGUGGCCUGACUGCAAGGGGGACAUCCCGAGCAGACACUGGUAAUCUCUCAGUGGGUUAUAGUGACCC
rnacentral:rRNA from 1 species